UACGGGGGGGGUAAGCGUUGUUCGGAAUUACUGGGCGUAAAGGGCUCGUAGGCGGCCAACUAAGUCAGACGUGAAAUCCCUCGGCUUAACCGGGGAACUGCGUCUGAUACUGGAUGGCUUGAGGUUGGGAGAGGGAUGCGGAAUUCCAGGUGUAGCGGUGAAAUGCGUAGAUAUCUGCAGGAACACCCGUGGCGAAGGCGGCUGGCUGGAUCGCAACUGACGCUGAGGAACGAAAGCUAGGGGAGCAAACAGG
rnacentral:rRNA from 1 species